rnacentral:antisense_RNA from 2 species
CUUGACCGAGCCGAGGUACAGCGGCCUGCCCUCGGCCCGGUCCUGGCCGUAGGUGGCGAGCAGGGCCUGCGCCUC